UUCUUCCGUAAGGUGAACCUGCGGAAGGAUCAUUACAGUAUUCUUUUGCCAGCGCUUAAUUGCGCGGCGAAAAACCUUACACACUAUGUUUUUUUAAUUUGAAACUAUUGCUUUGGUCUGGCUUAGAAAUAGGUUGGGCCAAAGGUUUUAUCAAAACUUCAAUAUUUAUUAUUGAAUUGUUAUUUUUAAUUUUAUGUCAAUUUGUUGAUUAAUAUCAAAAAUCUUCAAAACUUUCAACAACGGAUCUCUUGGUUCUCGCAUCGAUGAAGAACGCAGCGAAAUGCGAUAAGUAAUAUGAAUUGCAGAUUUUCGUGAAUCAUCGAAUCUUUGAACGCACAUUGCGCCCUUUGGUAUUCCAAAGGGCAUGCCUGUUUGAGCGUCAUUUCUCUCUCAAAUCUUCGGAUUUGGUUUUGAGUGAUACUCUUAGUCAGACUAAGCGUUUGCUUGAAAUGUAUUGGCAUGAGUGGUACUAGAUAGUGCUGAACUGUUUUCAAUGUAUUAGGUUUAUCCAACUCAUUGACCAGUAAAGUAUUUGUUUAUUACACAGGCUCGGCCUUACAACAACAAACAAAGUUUGACCUCAAAUCAGGUAGGACUACCCGCUGAACUUAAGCAUAUCAUAGCCGGAGGAAU
rnacentral:rRNA from 1 species